ACAUCCAGCGAACUUGGCAGAGAUGCCUUGGUGCCUUCGGGAACGCUGAGACAGGUGCUGCAUGGCUGUCGUCAGCUCGUGUUGUGAAAUGUUGGGUUAAGUCCCGCAACGAGCGCAACCCUUAUCCCUUGUUGCCAGCGAUUCGGUCGGGAACUCAAAGGAGACUGCCGGUGAUAAACCGGAGGAAGGUGGGGAUGACGUCAAGUCAUCAUGGCCCUUACGAGUAGGGCUACACACGUGCUACAAUGGCGCAUACAAAGAGAAGCGACCUCGCGAGAGCAAGCGGACCUCAUAAAGUGCGUCGUAGUCCGGAUCGGAGUCUGCAACUCGACUCCGUGAAGUCGGAAUCGCUAGUAAUCGUGGAUCAGAAUGCCACGGUGAAUACGUUCCCGGGCCUUGUACACACCGCCCGUCACACCAUGGGAGUGGGUUGCAAAAGAAGUAGGUAGCUUAACCUUCGGGAGGGCGCUUACCACUUUGUGAUUCAUGACUGGGGUGAAGUCGUAACAAGGUAGGCGUAGCGAG
rnacentral:rRNA from 1 species